UGUCAUACUAUAAUCCCUCUGGGACCAUUUCCUCACUUCAUUUAGCCGCUCGUGGCCAUACCUGUGACCAGUUCCUUUCCUAUUCUAUGACUACAAUGGUUGAUAGAUGGUCCCCUACGGCAAUUUCAACAAGUCGAUUAUGAUAUAAUAUUGUUAUGCUAGUUUUGUCAUCUCUCAGUGAAUUGCCCUUACGUUGAUCA